UCGAUCCGUGUGCGGGAGAAUCGUACGCACGAUUCGGAGGGAGGGGCGGGGAAACCUGUCCUUAUCCCUGAU
rnacentral:misc_RNA from 1 species